rnacentral:lncRNA from 1 species
GAACUUUAGUUUUUCCAUUACACUCUUCUCACACCCAACACUAUUAGGCUUGAUGCAUGUAUAUACAUGGUGGGUAGUGAUAUGAUCGAUGAAUUUUGAUACCAUCUUUUAAGGAUUGUAUUUGGUCAAAACAAGUCUGGUUCAAUCUCCUUUGCAUGUCUAUUUUGAACAAACAAAGGUAUGUCUUAUCUUUAUCUUUAUGUUAGAGUAUUUGGUAUUCUAGAAAUAAAGUCACCUUUGAAAGAAAAGAUACUUCCAUAUUGGAAACCAUCAAUAAAGCUUAGAGCAUCAAUGAGAACCAUUAGAAUAUGUUCAACACUCAAGUUUUAAAUUCUUAGGCACAUGUUUUUCUGUGAGAUGUUGAAAUAGUUACUCGUGAUGCUAAUGAUUUGGUGAUAGUUGUGGUUACUUGGUAUUUUGAGACAUUUUCAAAUUAUAAUAUUAUAGAAACUUUGGGUUUGAAAGGAAUCGUGUAGUUUACUUUUGACAUUUGGUGAUAGUUGUGGUUACUUGGUAUUUUGAGACACUUUCAAAUUAUAAUAUUAUAGAAACUUUGGGUUUGAAAUGAAUCAUGUAGUUUACUCUUGACAUGUGAUUUAGAUAAAUUACCUUUUAAGAGAAUUCUCUUAUUUUAGUUCAAAGAAUCCAUGUAAAAUUCGAAGAUUUAUUUCAUUUUGGUUUGCUAAUUGUUGAUUAUCAAACGAUUAAUAAUUGUUUAUUUUCCUUUUCUUUAAAUCAUUAAAUGGUCUACUAAUAUUUAUAUCAAUCAUUUAUCUCGUUAUGCUUUAGAUUUUAUAGACUCAAUCUGGACGAAAUAUUGUCUUCUUUGUAUUGCCUUAUUUUUCUUAGUUGACUUAGUUGUUAAAUGAAAUUCAGUUUGACAUAAGAAAAAAUGUUAAAUAAAUUUGUAGUACUUAUAAAAUUUCAAUGUUUGUUUUUAGUCUUCAUAAUAUUUUUUUUCAUCUUUAGACCUAAAAUAUUUUUCAUUUUUAUUUUUGGUCCUUAUUUUCAAGUCAACUCAUAUUUAUCAUUUGAUUUUGAAUGAUUUUCUUCAUGCAUGUUUAAAUUUAUAUUUAAUUCAUCUCUUUUUUAAAAAUUAUAAAUUUUUGUAAGAAAAACUCAUAUAAUGUUUUAAAUGUGAAUGAAAAAAAUCAUAAAAAAAAUCAAAAACAAGUUUUUAUUUUUCAUAAAUUAACAAAUAAAUUUUCAAAAAGGAAAUCAAAUUUGUUAGGGUAUGCGGAAAAGGAAAAAGUGAAGUAAAAAUAUAUUUAAUUCAAAAUAGUGAAUGAGAGAAGAGAGAUUUUUAAUAGUCGGGUAUUUUUUUAUUUAAAAAAUAAAUAAAUAAUUUUAAUGAUGUUUUGUUCUUUCACCACUCCAAAUUUUUCCAAAAUCAAAAGAAGAUUACAAUUUAAAAAUGGAUAUUACUCUGCUCCACUUCUUCUUUUAAAAUUUUGACCAAAUACAUAAUUUUUAAAUAUUAUCUCCCCUUUCCUCUAAAUCCCUUGGAGCAGAUAGAAUUAAAAUAUUUGUGAAAAUGUGUUUGUUUGGUGCAGAACACAUAAUUGUGUAUGAGAAUGAGACAAUGAUAAAUCACGUGGAAGGUCAGAGCUAAGCUACCACCCUACCACAAGACAUAUGUGUGAGAUUAGUAACCACCCACCAACCACAAUCUAAAUCAUUUAAAUAACCACAAAUGUGUAUGAAGGUGUAUAUUAAUCAUUUACACUUUUUUAUGGAUAAAAACAUUAUUCAAUACUAUUUUAAAUAAGGAAAAUGAAAUAGUUGUUAUGUGAGUUUUAUUUUUUAAGUAUUAAUGAUUAAAAGAGGUGUAGAUUAUUAAUUUAUAUAUUAUAAUUAUUAGAUGUAAAUUGUAAAUUGUAUCGAUGUAUAUAUAUAUAUGCAUACUUUAUCCUUUUCUAUAUUAUAGAGGUGCGGAGCCAGAAAUAAAUGUACGAAGAGGCUAGUUAUAGGUUCAUGUAUGAUUAUUUAAUUCUAUGUUUUAUAAUGUUGGUGAUAGAGUAGUAUUAAAAAGAGUAAUCACAAAGCAAAAAUCAUUGGUGAAGAGAAUGCUCAUAAAAAAUUAAACUUGUAGUCUUCUCUACUAUUUAUUAUUUAAUACUACAUAUGUUUCUAGUUAUAAGUAUUUUUAAGAAUGCUCAUAAAAAAAACUCCAUUUAAAAUUACUAGAUUUUUGUUUUUUCAGUUAUACCUCUUAUUUAUACUUCUAUUUUAUUUUAUGAAAUUGAAAGUCAGAGUUAAACAUUUAUACUCAAUAAUAUAUUUGCAACAUUUAUGUGCAAAAUAGACAUAUUAAAUACACUGUUUUUAAUAUAUAUAUGUGUGUGUGUGUGUGUGUGAAAAUUACAAAAAAAGAAUAUAAUAAAAGAUGGAAGUAGAGGUAGUAAUGUGGUAUGUAGUAUAAAUGAAUGAAUUUGAAAGACACUGUGUGAUUACUGUGGAAGCAGUGAUUGUUCCAACACUUAUAUCGUAAACUAAAACUUUUUUUCGUACCUCCUUAAUAAAAUACCAAAUACAAACAAGUUCAUUAACCUUUAACAUACCUAGUUAAAAGUAUAACCAUAUAAUUGAACUGCAUAUGCAAAUAGAAUUAAGAGAAGUAAGAUGGAUCAACACAAUUUCAAAAAUUUACCUCUUUGGUGUGUCUCUCUACCUGCAUAUGCGGUUCAACAGUAGAUGACAUGAAGAAAUACAAUCCAAUGGUGAUAUGAAUUAAUUGAAACACAGACAAAGAGCUGCAUUAAUGAGCCAAGAAACUUGCUAUAUAUGCAUUAAUCAGAAUUCUCAAGGUUAAUUAUUCUGAGAGAGAGAGAGAAAGAAAGGGAGGGAGGGAGAGAGAGAAAGAGUCAUAAUUACAUGAUCUGAUUAUCUUGUCAAAUAAAUUAUAUUUUACAGGUGACUCAAGGAAUAGCAUCUCAAAAAUUGGUGUCUGCCGCAAACAGAAGUUCACAUAUGGUAAUAAUAUUAACUGAGAAAUGCCCCCAUCCGUCAAGU